rnacentral:rRNA from 1 species
AGAGUUUGAUCCUGGCUCAGAAUCAACGCUGGCGGCGUGCCUAACACAUGCAAGUCGAACGAGAAAGUGGAGCAAUCCAUGAGUAAAGUGGCGCACGGGUGAGUAACACGUGACUAACCUACCCUGGAGUGGGGGAUAACUUCGGGAAACCGAGGCUAAUACCGCAUAUAAUCUACGGAUUAAAGGAGCAAUUCGCUUUG